GUUGUAGUCUGGAGAAGUGCUUUCCGCGCUGGACCGUGUAUAAGUCUCUUGGAACAGAGCGUCAUAGAGGGUGAGAAUCCCGUCUUUGACACGGACUACCAGUGCUUUGUGAUGCGCUCUCAAAGAGUCGAGUUGUUUGGGAAUGCAGCUCAAAAUGGGUGGUGAAUUCCAUCUAAAGCUAAAUAUUGGCGAGAGACCGAUAGCGAACAAGUACCGUGAGGGAAAGAUGAAAAGCACUUUGGAAAGAGAGUUAAACAGUACGUGAAAUUGCUGAAAGGGAAACGCUUGAAGUCAGUCGCGUUGUCCGGAACUCAGCCUUGCUUUUGCUUGGUGCACUUUCCGGAUGACGGGUCAGCAUCGAUUUUGACCGUCGGAAAAGGGCUGGAGUAAUGUGGCACCUCCGGGUGUGUUAUAGACUCUGGUCGCAUACGACGGUUGGGAUCGAGGAACGCAGCGCGCCGCAAGGCAGGGGUUCGCCCACUUUCGCGCUUAGGAUGCUGGCAUAAUGGCUUUAAACGACCCGUCUUGAAACACGGACCAAGGAGUCUAACAUACCUGCGAGUGUUUGGGUGGAAAACCCGAGCGCGUAAUGAAAGUGAAAGUUGAGAUCCCUGUCGUGGGGAGCACCGACGCCCGGACCUGACGUUCUCUGACGGAUCCGCGGUAGAGCAUGUAUGUUGGGACCCGAAAGAUGGUGAACUAUGCCUGAAUAGGGUGAAGCCAGAGGAAACUCUGGUG
rnacentral:rRNA from 1 species